UAGAAGUGAGAAUGCCGGUAUGAGUAGCGAAAGACGGGUGAGAAUCCCGUCCACCGAAUGCCUAAGGUUUCCUGAGGAAGGCUCGUCCGCUCAGGGUUAGUCAGGACCUAAGCCGAGGCCGACAGGCGUAGGCGAUGGACAACAGGUUGAUAUUCCUGUACCACCUCUUUAUCGUUUGAGCAAUGGAGGGACGCAGAAGGAUAGAAGAAGCGUGCGAUUGGUUGUGCACGUCCAAGCAGUUAGGCUGAUAAGUAGGCAAAUCCGCUUAUCGUAAAGGCUGAGCUGUGAUGGGGAAGCUCCUUAUGGAGCGAAGUCUUUGAUUCCCCGCUGCCAAGAAAAGCUUCUAGCGAGAUAAAAGGUGCCUGUACCGCAAACCGACACAGGUAGGCGAGGAGAGAAUCCUAAGGUGUGCGAGAGAACUCUGGUUAAGGAACUCGGCAAAAUGACCCCGUAACUUCGGGAGAAGGGGUGCUUUCUUAACGGAAAGCCGCAGUGAAUAGGCCCAAGCGACUGUUUAGCAAAAACACAGCUCUCUGCGAAGCCGUAAGGCGAAGUAUAGGGGGUGACACCUGCCCGGUGCUGGAAGGUUAAGGAGAGGG
rnacentral:rRNA from 1 species